CAGAUUGAACGCUGGCGGCAGGCCUAACACAUGCAAGUCGAGCGGCAGCACAAGGGAGUUUACUCCUGAGGUGGCGAGCGGCGGACGGGUGAGUAAUGCCUAGGGAUCUGCCCAGUCGAGGGGGAUAACAGUUGGAAACGACUGCUAAUACCGCAUACGCCCUACGGGGGAAAGAGGGGGACCUUCGGGCCUCUCGCGAUUGGAUGAACCUAGGUGGGAUUAGCUAGUUGGUGAGGUAAUGGCUCACCAAGGCGACGAUCCCUAGCUGUUCUGAGAGGAUGAUCAGCCACACUGGGACUGAGACACGGCCCAGAC
rnacentral:rRNA from 1 species